AUUGAACGCUGGCGGCAGGCCUAACACAUGCAAGUCGAACGAGUGGCGGACGGGUGAGUAAUGUCUGGGAAACUGCCUGAUGGAGGGGGACAACUACUGGAAACGGUAGCUAAUACCGCAUACCAUCGGAUGUGCCCAGAUGGGAUUAGCUAGUAGGUGGGGUAAAGGCUCACCUAGGCGACGAUCCCUAGCUGGUCUGAGAGGAUGACCAGCCACAAUGGGAAUGAGACACGGGUCAGACUCCUACGGGAGGGAGCAGUGGGGAAUAUUUGCAAAGGGGGGGCAGCCUGAUGCAGCCAUGCCGCGUGUAUGAAGAAGGCCUUCGGGUUGUAAAGUACUUUCAGCGGGGAGGCGUUACCCGCAGAAGAAGCACCGGCUAACUCCGUGCCAGCAGCCGCGGUAAUUC
rnacentral:rRNA from 1 species